rnacentral:rRNA from 1 species
UGGUGGAGUGAUUUGUCUGGUUAAUUCCGAUAACGAACGAGACUCUGUCCUGCUAACUAGGUUGUGUUUUCUCGGGUUGGCGUUCUGGUGUUCCUUCUCGGGGCGCCGGCCCAAUCCACUUGUGAACACAACACUCUUCUUAGAGGGACUGGCGGCUGUUAGCCGCACGAGAUAGAGCAAUAACA